rnacentral:rRNA from 1 species
CCUACGGGAGGCAGCAGUGGGGAAUAUUGCACAAUGGGGGAAACCCUGAUGCAGCGACGCCGCGUGAGUGAAGACGUAUUUCGGUAUGUAAAGCUCUAUCAGCAGGGAAGAAGAAAGACGGUACCUGACUCAGAAGCCCCGGCUAACUACGUGCCAGCAGCCGCGGUAAUACGUAGGGGGCAAGCGUUAUCCGGAUUUACUGGGUGUAAAGGGAGCGUAGACGGCUGUGCAAGUCUGAAGUGAAAGCCCAGGGCUCAACCCUGGGACUGCUUUGGAAACUGUGGAGCUAGAGUGCUGGAGAGGUAAGGGGAAUUCCGAGUGUAGCGGGGAAAUGCGUAGAUAUUAGGAGGAACACCAGUGGCGAAGGCGGCUUACUGGACAGUAACUGACGUUGAGGCUCGAAAGCGUGGGGAGCAAACAGGAUUAGAUACCCUAGUAGUC